UAUCCAACCCAUUCUCACUCCAAAGGCGUCAAAAACCGAAGCAUGGUCAAGCGCCCCUAGCGUCACUUUUAUGACGCCAAAUGUGCCUCUCGGCGUCGAAUAUCGAAGCACUACGACCUUCAUUGCUUUCAGUGGGAAACUUUUGGCGUCAGAAUUCGACACGACGAGGACAUGAGAUGUUUAUCGCUAUGAAAUCACGUUCAAGAAGUCUCAUUCAGCACACAUCGCGAUACUUGCUAUCAGUUCCACAGUUUGGCUGAAAAGACGUAAAGGAAGCCCAGUGGUGUUUCUGGAGAGCUAUUCCUUCAGAAAUGGAGAAGACAGAAAGCUGCGGAGGCAGAUAUUUGCAGCAGUCUAAAAUAUCGAGCUCAACAGCUCACUCAAGAGCCAACCCUCACAAACCUUCCUAAAAACUAAAAGAGCUAUUACUGAGUCUCAGCGAAUCUUGCCAUGAUCAGCUCUUCCCAGAAGAGAAGGAAGACCAAGGAAAUGAUUUGCUCAGGAUGAGGAAUGAAGAUGGCCAUCUUGUGCUCAAACAAACAGAAGUCCUCUGAUGAUCUCAUCAGCCAUAUGAGGGGUUUUGACCAAGUGAUGCUCUUGAAAGGAGUGAAAGAAGAGGAUGUGGUAAAUUGUCUUCAGAGAAAAAGCUUCUCAAAAGGUCUUAAAGCAGCUUGAAGAAUGGUCUGGGAUGUUAGGACUGAGAGAUCCUCUGGCUGAGAGAAGCUACACCACAUCAGUGCUGGAUAUCAACCACAAACUGUUUCCAGACACGAGAGAAGAAGAUCAUGAUGGGGAGAUGAAACCAGUUUAGAUGUGAUGAUGGGAAUCAUUAUUUUCUGAAACCGUAUCUCAUGUCUUAUAUGUAUCACAUGAUCUGUAUCACAGUUGACUGGAUGGGACUGUGUGACUUUUAAGGACAUUUCAUCACUCAUCUGUGUGAACUGAUUUAUAUAUGAGGUUAAUGUAUUUUUGAUGAUAAUUAUUUUCAUUGAAUCUUAUUUGUCUUGAUGCUACUUUAUCAACUUUAUAGUCUAUGCUUCAAUAAAAUGAAAAUGCUGAA